rnacentral:rRNA from 1 species
CACGUAGGGGGCGAGCGUUGUCCGGAUUUAUUGGGCGUAAAGAGCGUGUAGGCGGCCGUACAGGUCAGCUGUGAAAACUCGAGGCUCAACCUCGAGACGUCGGUUGAAACCGUACGGCUAGAGUCCGGAAGAGGAGAGUGGAAUUCCCGGUGUAGCGGUGAAAUGCGCAGAUAUCGGGAAGAACACCCGUGGCGAAGGCGGCUCUCUGGGACGGUACUGACGCUGAGACGCGAAAGCGUGGGGAGCGAACAGG